UCGAACGGAGAAUUUUAAUAGCUUGCUAAUGAAAUUCUUAGUGGCGGACGGGUUAGUAACACGUGAGAAUCCUACCCUUGAGUGGGGAAUAGCCUUUCGAAAGGAAGUUUAAUGCCCCAUGGUCUCUACGGAGUAAAGAUGCCUUCGGGUGUCGCUUAAGGAUGGGCUCGCGGCCUAUCAGCUUGUUGGUGAGGUAAGAGCUCACCAAGGCAACGACGGGUAGCUGGUCUGAGAGGACGAUCAGCAACACUGGAACUGAGACACGGUCCAGACACCUACGGGUGGCAGCAGUCGAGAAUCAUUCACAAUGGACGAAAGUCUGAUGGUGCAACGCCGCGUGGAGGAUGACGGCCCUAGGGUUGUAAACUCCUGUCAUCAGGGAGUAAGACUUAUUCGUUAAUAGCGUGUAAGUUUGAUAGUACCUGAAGAGGAAGGGACGGCUAACUUCGUGCCAGCAGCCGCGGUAAUACGAAGGUCCCAAGCGUUGUUCGGAAUAACUGGGCGUAAAGCGUGUGUAGGCUGCGCGGAAAGUCGGAUGUGAAAGCCCAAGGCUCAACCUUGGAACUGCAUCCGAUACUCCCGUGCUAGAGUAAUGGAGAGGUAAGUGGAAUUCUCGGUGUAGCUGUGAAAUGCGUAGAUAUCGAGAGGAACAUCAAUGGCGAAGGCAACUUACUGGACAUUCACUGACGCUCAGACACGAAGGCUAGGGUAGCGAAAGGGGUUAGAUACCCCUGUAGUCCUAGCAGUAAACGGUGCUCGCUUGGUGUGGGAGGGUUCGACCCCUUCUGUGCCGGAGCUAACGCGUUAAGCGAGCCGCCUGGGAAGUACGGUCGCAAGACUAAAACUCAAAGAAAUUGACGGGGACCCGCACAAGCGGUGGAGUAUGUGGCUUAAUUCGAUGCAACGCGAAGAACCUUACCUAGGCUUGACAUGCUUGUCGUACCUUCCCGAAAAGGAA
rnacentral:rRNA from 1 species